GUAUGGUGCAAGCGUUAUCCGGAUUUACUGGGUGUAAAAGGGAGCGCAGGCGGUGCGGCAAGUCUGAUGUGAAAGCCCGGGGCUCAACCCCGGUACUGCAUUGGAAACUGUCGUACUAGAGUGUCGGAGGGGUAAGCGGAAUUCCUAGUGUAGCGGUGAAAUGCGUAGAUAUUAGGAGGAACACCAGUGGCGACGGCGGCUUACUGGACGAUAACUGACGCUGAGGCUCGAAAGCGUGGGGAGCAAACAGGAUUAGAUACCCUGGUAGUCCACGCCGAAAACGAUGGAUACUAGGUGUUGGGAANGCAUUGCUUCUCGGUGCCGUCGCNAAACGC
rnacentral:rRNA from 1 species